ensembl:lncRNA
UCUAUAGGCUUCAGAAACUUAGAAUCACAGAAUAUCCUGAGCUGUAAGGGAACCAAAGGGAUCACACAGUCCAAAUUCUGGCUUCACAGAGGACUAAAACUAAACCUUAUGUGUAAGAGCACUGUCCAAAAGUUUCUUGAAUUUGGCAGCCCACUCAGCAGACAAGCUCGUGAGUUGGCUGUAAAAAAAAACACCUGCUAAAUAAUACGUUAUUUAGUACUGCCAUGGUUUUUAAGAAAACAAUACUUAUCCUUGGAGUUUCUGGAAGUGUUGCCAUCUAUCUCCAUAAAAACAAAACCAGGCCCAGGUUGUCUGUAUAUGAAUUUAAUACAAAUCAAGGUGUAAAUUUUGACAUACAAUCAACUGCGCUUGAUUAAUGACUAAUAUCUAUACUACAUUAUCUAUGUCUGUAAUUGCACAGUGUCUCCAAAUGCUAUUGAAGAUACGUUAGCUUGGGCAAAACAGCCUAUAAAAUGCAUGCUGGCUCAGGUGCUUUACAGAACAUUUUUAUGCAUUCUUACACAAAUGUACUUUCUAUUUUUUAUACUGCUCUUCUGCAGCAAUUUUGUGUCAACUUCUCUGAAAAAAAGGUACUUGUUUGAUUAUAUGUUAUUAAAUUGUUUUUUUUUAAUUGAUUGAGUUUAACAGCUUGCUGAGAUUCUAAAAUGUUCCCCAUGUCCUCAGUCAUCUGUUCUCUUUAAUUAUUAGUCAUUUUCACAGUACUCAAAACAAGGCAUAGCUUUUGAAUUCUUGAAAAUUACCUGCAGCUUGCAAGAAAGCACUGAAUCUAUUAUUUUGAUACACAGAAAAUUCUUUUCAAAGCUGACUUCAGUUUCAUUAGUGCCUUGCUUUUAAAACAUCUCUUUAAAAGAAAGUAUCUUGGAAGUCUGUAUGUACAUUUGUUGCACGGUUUUGAAAGAAAAUGUUUACAUGUCAAAAUGAAAAUGAAAACCACAGUAAAUCGUAGUGUUUCUUAUCUCUUCCUGUGCAUUAAAGAAGGUUCACAUAAUAGAAGCAGACUGCAUUUAAUUUAUGAGAAGCCACUCUACAGUGAUUGUACAUUAUCACCUCACAUCAGAAACAACACAGUAGGAAUAGCACUUAAUACUUGUACAAUAGUCCUUCUUGGAGAAAAGUCUCCCCAUAACUGGAAAUUUCAACGUUUUGUGCCUUCAAAUGCUUCUCUGCAAGUUCUGAAUUUUUAGCUUUUUUACUGGCUAUAUAAAUAGCACCUAAUACUGCACUGGUGCCAGGUAAAUAAAACUGGUAAACUUGACAGACUACUGUAACAAAAAAGAAAUUAGCUGCUCUUUAGGACUCUUUAGCACUAACGGUGCUUCACAGUUCAGAGAAAUUCAUUUACAGUUUCAGAACAGUAUAUAUAUUUUGACAAAGAAUACUAGGCUCUAUCAAAUCCAUGGAAUACCUCCUGAUCCUCAUUUCUACUUAUUAUUUAUUUAUUUUAAAAGUUUUGUUACAGUCUUCACUGGAAAUGUCUACGCAAUUGUUGGUCAACCUGAGUCCAAGUAUAUAUUACGUGAGACCCAGACUUGUGACCUUGAUCCUGUCUUACUAGAAAAAAAAUGUUAUUGAGCUAUUGCUAUCCCUGUUAGAUUGUAAGUGAGAGCCCAGAGGGUACUACAUCAGGCAAGAUGAGAAAGAAGAAAAGAACACAGAGUACAGGAGUGAGUGUGCUGAAUUAAUAACAAGCUACUAUCUCAAGGAUUCAGAUGUGAUACACCUACAGGAAAAGACAUAAAACCUAACAAGAAAGUGGAGGGUCAGGAGAUGGCAACUGGGGAAGAUCAAGGAUCAGCUUGUUGCCUGAAACAAAGGCUGAAACAUCUCCAUCUGCUCAGUGAUGGUUUGGAUAGCAGAUACUGGGGAAAGUGAGCAAACGUGUACCUGGGCUUGAGGCAUGCUGAUCCCAGCUCACUGCUGUGAACAUUAGACAUGAAUAAGAAAAUUGUUGGGUACUAAUAUGUUAUGUAUAGGAUUUUGUUUUAAGUCUCCAUGCACAGUAAACAGAUGCCG